GAAGAUACCUCUCUUGGAACAAUAGCAGCAAGCCACAUUCUUUGUACACUGAGAGAGAUUCCAUGGAACUAUCUGGACAUAGUGUGUGAUUUUUACACAGUUCACUUUAGAACUCUUUGCAGGAUUAAUAUAAGCACAGCGUUCCUGACUCAGAAGAACAUAUAGUCUGGAAGUAAUGAAAGUGGUGCAUGAUGAUAAACAUGUUAGCAGCAAGAACAUACCUCUAUUGUUGGAACUGAGAACUGAACGCUGCGUGUUCACAUUUUAAGUGCAACAAAUGACUGGAGAGCUCUUUGAGCCUUCAUCCAGUAGCUGAUGGAAGCAGAAGCAGAGAUCCACAGCUAAGCACUGAGCCGAACUCCUAGAGUCCAUGAAGGAGUGAUGAGCAAAGGGGUCAAGACCAUGCUAGAUGACCUGAGCAAGUGGCAGCUCAUGGACCCCAGCCAGACAGCUGAGGAACCAGCAUCGGACUAAACCAGGCCUCCUGAACUUGGGUGACAGUUAGGAGGCCUGGGCAGUCCAUGGGGCCUCUUGCAGUGGAACCAGUAUUCAUUCCUAGUGCACGAAUGGACUUUGGGAGCCCAUUCCUCCACGGAGGGAUACUCUCUCAGCCUAAAUACACAGGGGAGGGUCUAGGCCCCGCCCAAAAUGAUGUGACAGUCUUUGAAGAUUCCCCAAUGGAAGGCCUCACUCUUUCUGGAGCGUGGAUAGGGAGUGGGAUGGGGC
rnacentral:lncRNA from 1 species